rnacentral:piRNA from 1 species
UAGCAGGAAGAAAAGAUGCCCAAGGUUGG